rnacentral:rRNA from 1 species
CUACGGGAGGCAGCAGUGGGGAAUAUUGCACAAUGGAGGAAACUCUGAUGCAGCAACGCCGCGUGGAGGAUGACGCAUUUCGGUGUGUAAACUCCUUUUAUAUGUCAAGAGAAUGACGGUAGCAUAUGAAUAAGCACCGGCUAACUCCGUGCCAGCAGCCGCGGUAAUACGGAGGGUGCAAGCGUUACUCGGAAUCACUGGGCGUAAAGGACGCGUAGGCGGGUUGGAAAGUCAGGUGUGAAAUCCUACAGCUUAACUGUAGAACUGCACUUGAAACUUCUAAUCUAGAGUAUGGGAGGGGGAGAUGGAAUUAGUGGUGUAGGGGUAAAAUCCGUAGAUAUCACUAGGAAUACCUAAAGCGAAGGCGAUCUCCUGGAACAUUACUGACGCUAAGGCGUGAAAGCGUGGGGAGCAAACAGGAUUAGAUACCCCGGUAGUC